UACAGAGGUCACAAGCGUUAUCCGGAUUUAUUGGGCGUAAAGCGUUUCGUAGGUGGGUUAGUAAGUUACUCUUCAAAGACCACGGCUCAACCGGGGGAAGGGGGGUAAUACUACUAGUCUUGAUUUUUGGUGGGGUAUCUGGAACUGAUGGUGUAGUAGUGAAAUACGUUGAUAUCAUCAGGAACUCCAAGGGCGAAGGCAGGAUACUAACCAAUUAAUGACACUGAGGAACGACAGCUAGGGGAGCGAAAGGG
rnacentral:rRNA from 1 species